UACAGAGGUCCCGAGCGUUGUUCGGAUUCACUGGGCGUAAAGGGUGCGUAGGUGGCAUGGCCAGUUUGAUGUGAAAGCUCAGGGCUUAACCCUGAAAUGGCAUUGAAUACUGCUGUGCUGGAGGUUUGGAGGGGGGACUGGAAUUCUUGGUGUAGCAGUGAAAUGCGUAGAUAUCAAGAGGAACACCAGUGGCGAAGGCGAGUCCCUGGACAACACCUGACACUGAGGCACGAAAGCCAGGGGAGCAAACGGG
rnacentral:rRNA from 1 species